rnacentral:rRNA from 1 species
AUACAGCGAAACUGCGAAUGGCUCAUUAUAUAAGUUCAUAAAUUAUUUGAUAGUGCCUUACUACUUGGAUAACCGUGGUAAUUCUAGAGCUAAUACAUGCUAAAAACCCCGACUUCGGAAGGGGUGUAUUUAUUAGAUACAAAACCAAUGCCCUUCGGGGCUCUUUGGUGAUUCAUGAUAACUAUACGAAUCGCACGGCCUUGCGCCGGCGAUGGUUCAUUCAAAUUUCUUCCCUAUCAACUUUCGAUGUUUGGGUAUUGGCCAAAUAUGGUUGCAACGGGUAACGGAGGGUUAGGGCUCGACCCCGGAGAAGGAGCCUGAGAAACGGCUACUACAUCCAAGGAAGGCAGCAGGCGCGCAAAUUACCCAAUCCCGACUCGGGGAGGUAGUGACAAUAAAUACUGAUACAGGGCCCUUUCGGGCCUUGUAAUUGGAAUGAGUACAAUUUAAAUCCCUUAACGAGGAACAAUUGGAGGGCAAGUCUGGUGCCAGCAGCCGCGGUAAUUCCGGCUCCAAUAGCGUAUAU